CUGUUAAAGAGGUCUAUAAAUUUUGCAUUUGGGCCUAAUAAAGCCCUUUCAAGUACCUAUGUCCCUGUGACAUUGAGCUAGAAUCAUGCGGCAGGCAGAGGUGCCAAUUAGAUAUCAAUAACUCUACUGAUGGGAGACGAAUUAAAACCUCAAUUAUGGAUUCUAAAAUGACCUUGGAAAUUGGAGCAGGGUUUUUUUAUUUUCUUUUCUUUAAUAUUGGAGAAGUUGUGACUGUUCCUGUUCGAAGGUGACGGCUCACAGUUUCAGAGCAGAUGGGAGCUCACCCACCACCUCAUUCAGAGAAGCUCCUGAACCAGAUGCCAAUAGACCCCAUGGACGCCGAAGUCCUUAAAAUAAGUCCUUGGGUCACACAACAUGCACAGUGUUUGAGGAUUUGCAAUACUAGCUGUUGCUGUUGAUAUUAUUGUUGUUGCUGUUGGUGGUGGUGGUGGUGAUGAUGAUGAUGAUGAUGAUGAUGAUGAUGAUGAUGAUCUUUAUCUCAGUACUGAGAGCAAAGCCCACUUCUCACACACACUUGCCAAUCCCUUAACACUAAGGUGCUCCCCAACCUCAACUAUCAUGCUAACCCACCUCUGUUUGCAGAAGCUAUCAGUGACUCAGGACAGAGGGGUGAAGGCACAGUAGGAGGUAGAGCUGAGCACCAGGCAAGCUGAGUGGGGAAGGAUUCCUGCUCUCCGGCUCCCCUGUGUCCCAUCCUGAGAUGAGAGCUACACUCUACCCUGCGACAUGACACUCAUCCCCUCUGUCUGCAACUGUCUGCUCUCACCUUGCCUUCCAUUAUGGUCACCACGUCGGGCAAACCGCCAAUCACCUUGCCACGAUCUGCAAUGGAAAAGAGUGGGGUUGCAGAGGGAGACCCUACAGGAGGCCUGAAGCUGACACCAAGGGACACCAGGGUGGAAAUAAUGAGCUGACACCCAGGAGAUGACACAGAAAGUGAUGUUCUGGGUAGAGAAAGCUACCAUGGGGACCACAAAGGAUGGCUGACUCUGCAGGAUGCUAAAGCCAAAAGGAAGAGGAGCGUGCAAACUCUCAUAUCAAGGGCCUCCUCGGUUGCUUCCCACCGUGUUAGUUUUGAGGACCAGAGCAUCCUUGGAAUCAUGAAGGCAUUUAGGGACAAUCCUGUCCAGAAUGAACCUGCUGGCCCUCACGCCCCCAUCAGACCGGUGAGAACAAGCUGUGGGCCUUACUUGAGCUGCUGGAACUCGGCAUAUGCUUCAUCGAAGGCUGCAAGGAAACAAUCCACAUGUCACUCUUGUCCCCAAGUGUUUAACUCUCGCUCUACUAGACAUCCAAUGAAAUGAAAACUGACAAGCCAUCAAACUAAUCCAUCGAUUUUUCUCAGCUAAUUUCCUCUGAUCGAAGGUCGUGACAUUGAGUGGAUUAUCAGGCCCCCCUUUUCAGUAACAAUACGGGUUGUUCACAAGAGCUACAGCGAACUUCUCGUACCUUGCCCAGAGAGGUCCAGUGAGCGUUGGUGGUUGUCUUUGCCAUCGAAGAUCUCGAAAGUGUAUUUCCCCUUGUCCUUCUCUGUGGGCUCACAGAUCUGCAGCCAGGCCAUCUCCUCGCUUCCUCCGAUCCGCAUGUGCUCACUGGAUGAGAUCUUAGCCUCUCUAGGAAGCAACAUGGGCAUGCUCAGUCCAGCCUCUGGAUCAUAUGCUCACGCCUGUCCGGGCACACUAGCACAUCCGAGUGAGAAGGCUUUGCUUGCUCACAUGUGGUUGGGAGGGGGGUCUACUCACUUGCUCAUGCCAAUGGCAUAGUAGGUUUUGGUGGGUUGGCUUUUUUUUUUACUAGUAUAAACCUGAAACCUCUGAAAGCCAGAUACUACAAUUUAAAGGACUUCAGAAUACUUGAUUAAGUAUUGGCAGUUCCUAAGAGUAAUUAGGCACGGAGCCUAUGACUUGACAUGGCCGUCCCAUCUUUAGGUUCCUGUUCAGAAACUGAAAGCGGGGACCUAGACACUUGAGUACCCAACAUCUGUAGGUAGACACUUCAGCCCUGGACACCAGCAGCUGCCUGAUUCACAGUGGGCAGUUGGACAGCAACACAGGCGCCGACAGGAGAAUGGGAAACUAAACUGAGUUUAUCCGCGUGGUAGAACACUCCUGGCCCUUUAAAGAGAAGGGAACUGGCGCAUGCUACAGCAUGCACGAAUUCUGAGGGCAUUAUGCUACGUUUAAAUAGCCGGCCAUGUGAGGACAAACUUGUUUGUACAAUCUGAGUGCCCCAGAGUUGCCAUACUCAAGAGCAGGGACUACGUAGUGAAGCCAGGGGACAAGGGAAGCCGACGUCCGCUUUACAAUCAAAGGCUCUGGAAACUGUUCCCCACGGCAUGGUUGCUCUGCACCCAUAAUGUAUGAAAUGAUACAUUUUAUAUGUACUCUACCCCAACUUUUAAUAUAUAAGAAAGACGGUCACUGUCCUCCAAGUCAUCAGAGUGUCACACCAUACUCACCUGUGGUCAAGCCAGCCUAUUUGAUGUGGACACAUGUUUGCAAUUCAUACAUGUUUCACGUGCAUACAUCAUUUUCAAGUUACUACAAUUUAGAGGUCCGGCUGGAGGUUUGCUGAAAUCUGGUUGUGAGCUUACAGUAAUUCUAUAAUCAUUGCUGGUUACUGUGUACCCUAGAGUCCAACGAAAGAAAAGAAGUCCCUGGCCUUCUUUACUGUAAAAUAGCUCUGUCUGGUAACACUCAUAGUGCAGGGACACAGAGCAUGUCACUCUAGGAUAGAAAAGUAACUUGUACUGUGAGAGCAAAGUACCAGGAAGGUAAGCAGAUGGGUGGGAAGAGGCCCGGAAGGCUCCGUGGAAGACCCAGCCAGGCAGGGAUGAAAGGAUCUAAUACCAAGGCACUAUGUAUGCCCAGCAGAGCACAGAACACCCCUGGCAAGAGGAUGCACAGGGACUUGGUGCCCUUGGGAAAGCAGAACCCAGAGGCCAAAGCUAUGGAAUAGGCUCACAGCUUUUCAGCCUGAAUGCUUUGUUCACAGUCUGAUGGGUUCAUCCUAAUCAACUAGCUCUUUAUUUGACUGUAGCACACAUGGUAGACGAUAGACCUCCAAGAAGCUCAGAAAAAAAAAAACUCUCUAUUAUUAAAGCAAUGAAAGGGUCACCUCAAUACUCACAACCGCCCAUCUCUAUCUAAAAGCAAAAACGAGGCUUUAUAUAGUUUCCUGGUUCUGUGGGAAUGAAAAUUCUUGCAACGAAAAUGUGCUGUGCAAUCAGACUCCCUAUCGCAUUCCAUGAACUGACUCUCCAAGUGAGGGUUAGACAGUACCUCACAGCCUACAUAGACUCAUACAAGCGCACAGUAGGGAGUCACAACCGGGUUGCUGGUGCCUCCUUCAAGCCCAGAAGAAGGUGAGGCAGUGGGUUCAAUUCAAGCACACACAUUGAUAAGGUCUCCAAAUGCCUCAGCCGGUCCUGUAGUGACUCCAUGUUGUUUGAGGAUUGUAGCAUACACCCUGUCAGAGGGAGACAGCACCCACUGCACCUAGGGAUUUACAAUCUGCUUCAAGUGCUGCGUGAGUCACUGGCCACCAUCCCUAAAUCUACAGUAAUUCUUGGAACCUGUUUCGUCUUGCUCUACCACAUGUUACCCAUGUGGGCCUUAAAUCUGGAGAUGUCAUUUUCUCUGUCUCUAUAACUCAAAUACACUGUGAGCAUAGAGAGCUCUGUCACAGGUCACAGCAGUUGGUAGCCCUCACCCAAGUGGGAGGGAGUCCACCCAUCACCUCAGGUCCCCAUUGGAAGCCGUUACCUCUCCCACCCUGGCUAAAGAUCCUAAAGGUGAGAUGUAAGGGACAGAGGGCACCUCACGCUUGUGGUAGUUGGCUGAGAUUCAGAGGAGCCAUUAGCCCAGUGCGGCCAUCACAGGGGAGAUCUCCCAAACUGAGGGAAUGCCCACACCCUGAGGUCAAAGAGCACUAGCUUUGUUUUUCCUAUAACGACAUCGAGAAAUCCCUUGGGUGGCUGGGAUUCCUCUCAGUCUGGAGAGAUUUGCUGUGCCUGCAUGAUACAUUAACUUCGCUCUCCAGCAUGAGAACAAGGUCCUUUUCUGAAGAACGUUUUGGCUGCAUCCCUGGUUACUUCCCAUUUGUGCGGUAUGGAUGUCCAGCCUUUUAUUUAAAGUGUCAUUUUCUGCAUUCCGGGAUAUAUGACUCGGCACUGUUUGAAAGCAAGGAACAAACGUCCGUGCCCGAGUCUGCAUUCUGCAAAACUCUCGUGGACGUCUGUGGACCGGAUGUCACCCCGUUGGGGAUUUGGAGCUAACCGUGGUGGAGGAAGAAGCAAUAUCGUGGAUAGAUGUGAGAGCUCGAGGCAGCACGGGCUCCCAUGACUCCUGGAGAGUCCCAAUCUACUAUAUCUGAUCUGACAUGGCUCCUGGCACACAGACAAAACAACCCAAAGGACCAGAGGUGGUGACUGCUUCCCCUGUCUUCCUGGAAAUCCCCCUGGGGGGAUGGGUCCUACAGGCUCAUGAACAGACCCUCCCCGACUGCCCCACAGCCUACCCAGCCAAAUCUCAGCACAAUUACCGAGAACAGUACCAUGGCCCGCAGUUCGCUGAAGGCACCACUCCCAGCCCCGGGAUGCUGCAGCCAUGGUCAUGUACUGUCAUACUCACUUGUGGUACCAGCUGACCUUCAUUUCCUCUGUGAAAUACUUCAUGAAGCACUGAAGCCGGAUGCCCUCUGGAGUGCAGAGAACCUUCAGGGGUGAGGCAGAGGCUCCUGCAGACAGCAAGAUGCUACCUCAGAUCUCAGAGAAGUGGGACAGGCCCACGCCUGAUGGUAAGGUACAUCCACCCCCAGCAUCAGUGCAUCCCUCCUCAAGUUGGCGGUCAUCCCUGUCAGAGCCACCAGAGGCCCCCACCUCAUUUUUGUGUGGCACAUUUCCAUUAAACACAUGCUUGCCCUGC